ACUACGGGCGGCAGCAGUGGGGGAUAUUGCACAAUGGGGGAAACCCUGAUGCAGCGACGCCGCGGGAGUGAAGAAGUAUUUCGGUAUGUAAAGCUCUAUCAGCAGGGAAGAAAAUGACAGUACCUGACCAAGAAGCACCGGCUAACUACGUGCCAGCAGCCGCGGUAAUACUUAGGGGGCAAGAGUUAUCCGGAUCUACUGGGUGUAAAGGGAGCGUAGACGGUUAUGUAAGUCUGGAGUGAAAGCCCGGGGCGCAACCCCGGGACUGCUUUGGAAACUGUGUAACUGGAGUACAGGAGGGGCAGGCGGAAUUCCUGGUGUAGCGGUGAAAUGCGUAGAUAUCAGGAGGAACACCGGCGGCGAAGGCGGCCUGCUGGACUGAAACUGACGUUGAGGCUCGAAAGCGUGGGGAGCAAACAGGAUUAGAUACCCUAGUAGUC
rnacentral:rRNA from 1 species